rnacentral:misc_RNA from 1 species
GAUGAAGAACGUAGCGAAAUGCGAUAAGUAAUGUGAAUUGCAGAAUUCAGUGAAUCAUCGAAUCUUUGAACGCACCUUGCACUCCUUGGUAUUCCGAGGAGUACGCCUGUUCGAGUGUUAUGAAGCUCUCAAAACGCAAUUGGCUUAAAACCUGAUUGUUGUUUUGGAUUUGAACUUUGCCGUGUUAUAACGGCUGGUUUUAAAAGUAUUAGCUGGUACUAGAACGAAUUGGUUCUACUCAACGUGAUAAUUAUCUGAUCGUUGAGGACAUUCCUUUCACGAGGAAUGGCCAUAGUAAAUUCAAUGGACUGCUUCUAAUCUGGCUUUAAUUCUUUAUUGGAUUAACCACUUUUCAAAUCUGACCUCGAAUCAGGUGGGACUACCCGCUGAACUUAAGCAUAUCAAUAGCGGAGGA